rnacentral:rRNA from 1 species
GGACUACCAGGGUAUCUAAUCCCGUUUGCUCCCCUAGCUUUCGCGCCUCAGCGUCAGUGUCGGUCCAGGAAGCCGCCUUCGCCACCGGUGUUCCUCCGGAUAUCUGCGCAUUUCACCGCUACACCCGGAAUUCCGCUUCCCUCUCCCGAACUCAAGCCUGCUAGUUUCCCGCGCCGUUCCCCGGUUGAGCCGGGGGCUUUCACACGGGACUUGACGGGCCGCCUACGCGCCCUUUACGCCCAGUAAUUCCGAACAACGCUUGCCACCUCUGUAUUACCGCGGCGGCUGGCAC